rnacentral:misc_RNA from 1 species
GAUGAAGAACGUAGCGAAAUGCGAUAAGUAGUGUGAAUUGCAGAAUUCAGUGAAUCAUCGAAUCUUUGAACGCACAUUGCGCCCCCUGGUAUUCCGGGGGGCAUGCCUGUCCGAGCGUCAUUGCUGCCCUCAAGCACGGCUUGUGUGUUGGGCCCCGUCCUCCGAUCCCGGGGGACGGGCCCGAAAGGCAGCGGCGGCACCGCGUCCGGUCCUCGAGCGUAUGGGGCUUUGUCACCCGCUCUGUAGGCCCGGCCGGCGCUUGCCGAUCAACCCAAAUUUUUAUCCAGGUUGACCUCGGAUCAGGUAGGGAUACCCGCUGAACUUAAGCAUAUCAAUAGCGGAGGA